UUUAGUAACUCAGUGGUAGAGUUCCUGCUUAGCAUGCAUGAGACUCUUGGCUCAAUCCCAAGCACCAAAA
rnacentral:tRNA from 1 species